UAGUUUAUUACAUUCGAAGAUAGUUAAUUAUAUUCACAUAUAUAGAAUUAAAAUCUAAUGAUACGCAAAUUCGAAAAAAUUAUUGUUCCCGAGGAAAUAAAACACGUGGAAGUACAAUCCAACUUUAAUAGAAGAAGCAAAAAAAAACGAUUAUCAGCAAAAUCUUGUAGAAUUUGAUUGGAAAUACAAUAACACACAAUCAAAAGAAAGUAUUGAUGUGGGUAUAUACAACUGUCAACAUAUUUUCGUGUAUUCGUUCUCUUAGAUUCCAGUUUGAUGAAUUCAAAAUCUCCUAUAAUGUGUUAUUGAACAAGUUAUCCAAACCACAGAUGGUGACACCGACAUCACCAACCAAGCUCUGAAAUCAGUUAGGGAAAAAGGGUGUAAUAAUUGAAUCACGUGAGCCCUUGGUUGGUCACGGUUCGGAAACGUGUUACGCGGUUCGUGAAUCGUAGUCAAAAAGGGGUCCAAGCUGUCGAGAACACGAACAGUAUAGGCUAUACUGUAUAGCUUAGCUAGACAGCUGGAUUAUUUUGUUCCGUACGACUUAUUUUUGUUCUUCUUCAACAUUUGUCGACUUCUUCACUCUCUCUCUUUAUACUUGUACUAUAAUAGUAUUUUAAUUCGGAAUUAAUUGUGGCAUUUAUUAAAAUCCAUUCAAUAUUUUGGGCUGUUG